AUUGAACGCUGGCGGCAUGCCUUACACAUGCAAGUCGAACGGUAACAGGUCUUCGGAUGCUGACGAGUGGCGAACGGGUGAGUAAUACAUCGGAACGUGCCCGAUCGUGGGGGAUAACGAGGCGAAAGCUUUGCUAAUACCGCAUACGAUCUACGGCUGAAAGCGGGGGAUCUUCGGACCUCGCGCGGACGGAGCGGCCGAUGGCAGAUUGGGUAGUUGGUGGGAUAAAAGCUUACCAAGCCGACGAUCUGUAGCUGGUCUGAGAGGAUGAUCAGCCACACUGGGACUGAGACACGGCCCAGACUCCUACGGGAGGCAGCAGUGGGGAAUUUUGGACAAUGGGCGAAAGCCUGAUCCAGCCAUGCCGCGUGCAGGAUGAAGGCCUCCGGGUUGUAAACUGCUUUUGUACGGAACGAAAAGCCUCUUUCUAAUAAAGAGGGGUCAUGACGGUACCGUAAGAAUAAGCACCGGCUAACUACGUG
rnacentral:rRNA from 1 species